GAAUGAGGGUAUGCGUGAUAUAACUUGUUAUGUAAAUUCAUUUUGUAAUAUCCUGAUAAAAUCUUAAAAGCAUUGCAUAUCAAAUGAAUUCUCAAGCUAUAUUUGUCACAUACUGUGAACCCAGUUCAAAGCCUUUAAGAAAACUACACAGUGUUAGGAGAGUCAUCUGGUUUGCUUUUAAAAAAAGUUUUUUAGACUUUUUAGCUAAUCAGUUUAAAGUGCAUUCUUUUAUUGACGCUGUAGAUAUUAUUUAGUGGUAAUAUAAAUGUAAAAAUAAAUCCCUGUUACAAUUAAUAAACUCUGAAUUCUAAAUGUUUCCAUAUUCUCCCCUUUUUUAGUGAUGUCAGUUAAAGCAUUAGUAAC
rnacentral:lncRNA from 1 species